GUUUCUUUUGUUACUAAUUACAGAUACAGGAAGUUCCUGACCUAUCAGUCUUUACAGUCGACGUGACAGUUGGGCUCUCAGCUAUAGGAGGGACUUGCCAACACGUGGCAACCAAACAAAUAACUAUGUGGAGGCUGCAAUGCGUGUCUUGAAAGACAAAAUACUUCAAAGGACAAAAGCAUUCAACCUGCCUCAAUUAUUCAACCUUUUCAUUACCCGACUAGAGAUGUACUAUGAAGCACAUGUGACAGACGUUGCACUUGGCCAUUGGGAGGCAUUCCACCGGUCAAGAUUCCUUGCUACACAAAGUAAUAUAAAAGCAUCUGAUAUUUCUCAGAGUCACAUCAGCUGGACCUGUCUUCCACCAGCUCUGCACAAUUGCACCAAACAUCACCUAUGCAAGAGGACUCAUACUCCAACCAACCCUGUGUACAGGUUAACUCAGAGGGAGGUGAGUCCAUGAAGCUUAGAGUUACAUUAAAAAUUCUGUCUAGAUGUUUAUUUGG
rnacentral:lncRNA from 1 species